rnacentral:rRNA from 1 species
AUGGGAUGCAGCAGUGGGGAAUAUUGGACAAUGGGGGCAACCCUGAUCCAGCAAUGCCGCGUGAAUGAUGAAGGCCUUAGGGUUGUAAAGUUCUUUUAUUGAUGACGAUAAUGACGGUAAUCAAUGAAUAAGCACCGGCUAACUUCGUGCCAGCAGCCGCGGUAAUACGAAGGGUGCUAGCGUUGUUCGGAAUGACUGGGCGUAAAGGGUGCGUAGGCGGCCAGAAACGUCUGAUGUGAAAUCCCUGGGCUUAACCUAGGAACUGCAUUGGAUACGGUCUGGCUAGAGUCCGCGAGAGGAAGAUGGAAUUGUGCGUGUAGAGGUGAAAUUCGUAGAUAUGCACAAGAACACCGGUGGCGAAGGCGAUCUUCUGGAGCGGUACUGACGCUAAGGCACGAAAGUGUGGGGAGCAAA